rnacentral:rRNA from 1 species
UACAGAUCGUGUGAAUCAUCGAAUCUUUGAACGCACUUUGCACCUUGCGGCAUUUGUCACAAGGUAUACUUGUUUGAGUAUCCACAACUCACUCAUCUCCUCUUCGGGGCGAGAUGGACUUGAGAUUCGAUGAGCUCUAGAGCCAUAAGGGCAACCUUAUGACGGCGAGUCGUUUCUUUAAAUGGAGGCCGACCACAAGUGUCUCAGCUGAGAUAUGGUUAUUGGGAUAACAUCCUAACAAUAGCUAUAGGCUUUGACAUGCGAGGCCAUCUUAUCAAGCAGUAUUGACUUUGCAAAAAGUGAUGCUAUUGAUAAUGGCGCAAACCUUCAUUGUAAGAUGUGUUGGUUAGCAGCUACUGAACAAUGGAUCUCAAAUCAAGUAGGGAUACCCGCUGAACUUAAGCAUAUCAAUAAGCGGAGG